GACGAACGCUGGCGGCGUGCUUAACACAUGCAAGUCGAACGGAGUCUUAGAGGAAGCUUGCGAAUUUAAGACUUAGUGGCGGACGGGUGAGUAACGCGUGGAUAACCUGCCCACAAGACUGGGAUAACGCCGGGAAACUGGUGCUAAUACCGGAUAAGCUCUAUGGGGUGCAUGCCUUGUAGAGGAAAGGGGAAACCCGCUUAUGGAUGGAUCCGCGUCCCAUUAGCUAGUUGGUGGGGUAAAGGCCUACCAAGGCGACGAUGGGUAGCCGGCCUGAGAGGGUGGCCGGCCACACUGGGACUGAGACACGGCCCAGACCCCUACGGGAGGCAGCAGUGGGGAAUCUUCCGCAAUGGGCGAAAGCCUGACGGAGCAACGCCGCGUGAGUGACGAAGGCCCUUGGGUCGUAAAACUCUGUCUUCAGGGAAGAAAAAAAUGACGGUACCUGAGGAGGAAGCCCCGGCUAACUACGUGCCAGCAGCCGCGGUAAAACGUAGGGGGCGAGCGUUGUCCGGAAUUACUGGGCGUAAAGGGCGUGUAGGCGGCCCGUGAAGUCAGGAGUGAAAACUCGGGGCUCAACCUCGAGAUUGCUUUUGAAACCAGCGGGCUUGAGUGCAGGAGAGGAAAGUGGAAUUCCCAGUGUAGCGGUGAAAUGCGUAGAUAUUGGGAGGAACACCAGUGGCGAAAGCAGCUUUCUGGCCUGUAACUGACGCUGAGGCGCGAAAGCGUGGGGAGCAAACAGGAUUAGAUACCCUGGUAGUCCACGCCGUAAACGAUGGGUGCUAAGUGUUGGGGGUAUCGACCCCCUCAGUGCUGUAGUUAACGCAAUAAGCACCCCGCCUGGGGAGUACGGUCGCAAGACUGAAACUCAAAGGAAUUGACGGGGGCCCGCACAAGCGGUGGAGCAUGUGGUUUAAUUCGACGCAACGCG
rnacentral:rRNA from 1 species